rnacentral:rRNA from 1 species
AUGAAGAAUCUGAAGGAUCCUAAACCGAAGAUAUUUCCCUCAAGUACGAGGGGAGGUAAGAAACUGCCAUCUAGUUCUGCUUUAGAUUCACCUUCUGUUAUGAGUAAACUUGCAACAACAUCACAUGCUAUGAAUUCCGAUAUGUCACAAGUUAUUGAUGAUGCUACUUCUACUAUGAAUGAUGCUUAUGAUGAUGCUAGUACCUUGCUUGAUAAUGAUGAUGUGCCACUUGGUGAUUUUCUUGAUAAACAAAUUGCUAGAGUUAUACAACAUGAUGUUGUUGAAUCUGAUGAUGAGCUUGAUACUGAAACUCAUGAAACACCUGCUAGAACUAGCCUUGCUAGAUAUGAAAUGCCUAUGGUACUGGAAGGUUAUGUUAUGAGUGAAGAAGCAACUAGAGAUAUUCUUGCUUGCAAUGACAGAGAUGAUCUAGAGAAAUUACUAUGCAAGUAUAAAGAAAAAUCACUGAAUGCUAGAAUCAAAUGUGAUCCUAAGUUUUCUACUUCACCUAUCUGUUUUCCUGAUAAGGAUUAUGAAUUCUCUGUCGACCUAGAGUUAAUUACUUUGGUUGAAUCUGAUCCUUUCGAUGGUUAUGAAACUGAAACUAUUGUGGCACAUCUUACAAAGUUGAAUGAUAUAGCCACCCUUGUUACUCAUGAUGAGAAAACUCGCUACUACUUUAUUCUCAAAUUAUUUCCUUUCUCAUUAAAGGGUGAUGCUAAAGCUUGGUACAAUACUCUUGCUCCUGGUGGUGUGUGUAGUCCCCAGGAUAUGGUUUAUUACUUCUCUAAAAAAUAUUUUCCUGCUCAUAUGAAACCAGCUCCCUUACAAGAAAUAUUUAACUUUGUGCAAACUAAAGAAUAG